rnacentral:tRNA from 1 species
GCUGAUAUGGCUCAGUUGGUAGAGCGCACCCUUGGUAAGGGUGAGGUCCCCAGUUCGACUCUGGGGUAUCAGCACCA